rnacentral:rRNA from 1 species
UACGUAGGGGGGCAAGCGUUGUCCGGAAUCAUUGGGCGUAAAGAGCGUGUAGGCGGCCAGAUAAGUCCGCUGUGAAAUCUCGAGGCUCAACUUCGAGCUGUCGGUGGAAACUGUCUGGCUAGAGUCCGGAAGAGGAGAAUGGAAUUCCUGGUGUAGCGGUGAAAUGCGCAGAUAUCGGGAAGAACACCCGUGGCGAAGGCGGCUCUCUGGGACGGUACUGACGCUGAGACGCGAAAGCGUGGGGAGCAAACAGG